CACCAGACUUUUAAUGCACGCAAUCUCAUGUGCCGUUAAAGUCUUUUUGUUACUUGACUGUCCUCUGUUAACCAAGCGCCCAAGCUUGUUUCCGUUCUGGCAGGCAGCCGAAGCCAGUAGCAACGUGCCUCGUCUCGCAAGUUAUAAUCAAGCAUUGGCAUAAGUGUUUAAGCAGCGUUAAGUGUUAGGUUAGGUUAGAUGCUAGCAUUAAAUAACAAUAAAUACUAAGUAUUACGUGUCAAGUGGUACGUACGUUACUAAGCUCGUGUCAUGCAGUUAAGUCCAUUGUUUAUCUUGCUUCUUUUAACUCUAAUUCUCCCAUUUUCCUCGAUUUUAGGAGCAGGAGCGAUCGCUAACGGAGGAAGCCGCUAAUCGCUAGGGGGAGGAAAAAAAAGAUGGCGGCGACAACGACGCGCAAAGGCAGCCCAACGAUUCACCGUUUUGCCGUAUUCUUGGCUCGAGCUUCGACCUAUUUUUGCAUUUUUAUGCCCGAGGGAAUUUUGGUAUCCCGGGAGACUACGUUUCCGCCUUUUUUCCCGAUUUUACCGGGUAAAAGAGCGUAAAAUGCCGCGAUGGACGAAGCGAGGACGCGCGCAAGAUGGCGGCGAUUUUCGAGACCUCGCCAAGGUCUUCGGGUAUUUCGAAAGAUUUCUGAGAAUAUCUGGGCACGAUUCGCGGCUUCAAAUAUUAGAAAUAACUGUCCCGUGUAUCUUGCGAGACGCUUCACGGGGUAAUUCGCGGUUUCAGAUACAGAGGGGAACGAAAUACCAGAAUUCGACGACUCCGAGGGGGAGGGUGGAGGGUAAGAACCGAACAACCUAUUCGCAUUUAGACGAUCUUCGAGCGAUUAAAUGACGUUCUAACGGAGAACUGGAUAUCAAUGUGGAGUCGAAAACAGUCGAAAAUGUCCGGCGAGUUUCGAAAUUGACCUCGACGCCUGUCCAGCGACGCCCACGUACGUCUGGAUGACAUUGACGAUCGUAUUACAAUGCUAUUAUUAAAUAUUUACGGGCGUGAAUUAGGCGACGAUACCGGGCAGGAUCCGCCAAAGCCACGGAAAUCGAUAUCGAAAUAUGUCGGAAUCGAAGUGGACUUUUCAAUUCUAACCUAUUAAAGCCGUUUUACCGAGACGUUCCGAAGUGUCCCAAACUUGAGGAUCAUAAAUCCCGGGGAUAUUCGCUCGCGAUUCUGGGUCAGAUUUGUAACUAAAGUCGUUUUCGCGGUUGCCAGGCAAGAUGUUGCGGUACAAUUUCGAAACCGUCCCGGAGACCUAACCUCGUCGCGAUUUAAUUCGGCUUAUUGAAUUGCGGCCACACGUUCUUCGAGGAAGGAAAAGUCUAUGAAAAUGCUGCAAAACAAACAGAGCAACGAUCAGGAACCCUCGUCUGUGUAGUAACCGAACGUGAACAUGUGGUUCGGGGACUUUGGAAGAUCUUCGUUAUCACGUGCAACGCGACGUAGCACUCGGCGAAAGCCAGCUCUAGUACGGGCCAAGGACCAAUUCCACAGUGGGCUCCGAGUCUCAAAAGUUAACCAAGACGAAGGAUUCCAGGAGUCAGAACUUCCAAACUUUGUUCAUACAUCGUCAAUUAAUUCCUCGAUACAGUGAAUUGUGAUAUGAGGGUGAUUUAGUGAUUAAUCGGUUUGCAUGGAGGUGACGACCCGGAACCAACUGCGGGCUUGGUGAAAAUGCUGGUUAUCACUAUCGGUGCAUCUCUCCGGAGUCUUAGGGAGCAGCCUACUUACGGGACGGCCGAGGUUUGACAUUUAAUCGUGUCCGCGAUAUUUUGCUCGGAGUAGAGGCCGAUCGGAGAAUUGAAUUGCUUGUGGAC